rnacentral:sRNA from 1 species
UCUGGAGAAACAGCUACGGCCAUCCCAGCCCUGGCCAAGGGGAAAAUGCCGGAAGACUCCAGGGUGGGAGGAAGCGCGUCCCAAGGCCCAGGAUCUGCGAGGCGACUCGGGGAAAACGCAGGACCUGCUGAAGCUCACACCCGUGGACCACCCAGACUGCCUGCCGCUACAGGAUGCCCUCCGCAUCUCCCAGGACUUCUUUCUGGCAUCAGUGUGGACAUUGACCCCGCUGGACUGCAGUCACAGUGGACUCCCAAGGGCAGGAUCCACCUCUGAUGUUCAGUGAAGACUACCAGAAAAGUCUGCUAGAGCAGUACCAUCUGGGUCUGGAUCAAAAACGCAGAAAAUACGUGGUUGGAGAGCUCAUCUGGAAUUUUGCCGAUUUCAUGACUAACCAGUGUUCCUGCUCCAGCGCGACUCCUGGUCUGGCGCCAGGUGCUGGCCCCGGGGGUUUCAAUCCAAGCAUAAUUCAGUGAAGCAUGUGUUUGGCAGUGGGACCCAGCUCACUGUUUUAGGUCAGCCCAAGACUACCCCGUCGGUCAUUCUGUUCCUGCCGUCCUGUGAGGAGCCCCAAGCCAACAAGGCCACACUGGUGUGUCUCAUGAAUAACUUUAUCCGGGAAUCUUCAUGGUGACCUGGAAGGCAGAUGGUACCCCCAUCACCCAGAGCGUGGAGAAGACCACGCCCUCCAAACAGAGCAACAGCAAGUACGUGGCCAGCAGCUACCUGAGCCUGACGCCCGAGCAGUGGAGGUCCCGCAGAAGCUACAGCUGCCAGGUUAUGCAUGAAGGGAGCACCGUGGAGAAGUCAGUGGCCCCUGCAGAAUGUUCAUAGGUUCCCAGCCCCCACCCCACCCACAGGGGCCUGGAGCUGCAGGAUCCCAGGGGAGGGGUCUCUCUCUGCAUCCCAAGCCAUUCAGCCCUUCUCCCUGUACCUAGUAAACCCUCAAUAAAUAUCUUUGUCAGCCAGAAA